GAUGAAGAACGCAGCGAAAUGCGAUAAGUAAUGUGAAUUGCAGAAUUCAGUGAAUCAUCGAAUCUUUGAACGCACCUUGCACUCCUUGGUAUUCCGAGGAGUACGCCUGUUCGAGUGUUAUGAAGCUCUCAAAACGCAAUUGGCUUAAAACCUGAUUGUUGUUUUGGAUUUGAACUUUGCCGUGUUAUAACGGCUGGUUUUAAAAGUAUUAGCUGGUACUAGAACGAAUUGGUUCCACUCAACGUGAUAAUUAUCUGAUCGUUGAGGACAUUCCUUUCACGAGGAAUGGCCAUAGUAAAUUCAAUGGACUGCUUCUAAUCUGGCUUUAAUUCUUUAUUGGAUUAACCACUUUUCAAAUCUGACCUCGAAUCAGGUGGGACUACCCGCUGAACUUAAGCAUAUCAAUAAGCGGAGGA
rnacentral:misc_RNA from 1 species